rnacentral:snRNA from 1 species
UUGCUUCAGCAGCACAUAUACUAAAAAAUUGGGACAAUACAGAGAAGAUUAGCAUAGCCCCCCCACAAGGAUGACAUGCAAAUUGGUGAAGCAUUCCAUUUU